UAACAAACACCUGUAAAACAGC
rnacentral:miRNA from 1 species